rnacentral:rRNA from 1 species
UACGGAGGGGGCUAGCGUUGUUCGGAAUUACUGGGCGUAAAGCGCACGUAGGCGGCUUUGCAAGUCAGAGGUGAAGGCCCGGGGCUCAACCCCGGAAUUGCCUUUGAGACUGCAUCGCUAGAAUUGUGGAGAGGUAAGUGGAAUUCCGAGUGUAGAGGUGAAAUUCGUAGAUAUUCGGAAGAACACCAGUGGCGAAGGCGACUUACUGGACACAUAUUGACGCUGAGGUGCGAAAGCGUGGGGAGCAAACAGG